rnacentral:rRNA from 1 species
CCUACGGGUGGCAGCAGUGAGGAAUAUUGGUCAAUGGGCGGAAGCCUGAACCAGCCAAGUAGCGUGCAGGAUGACGGCCCUACGGGUUGUAAACUGCUUUUAUACGGGAAUAACGCGCCUUACGUGUAGGGCUUUGCAUGUACCGUAUGAAUAAGGACCGGCUAAAUCCGUUCCAGCAGCCGCGGUAAUACGGAAGGUCCGGGCGUUAUCCGGAUUUAUUGGGUUUACAGGGAGCGUAGGCCGGAUGUCAAGCGUGCUGUGAAAUGUCCGGGCUCAACCCGGGCCUUGCAGCGCGAACUGGCGUGCUUGAGGCCGCGGAAGGCAGGCGGAAUGCGGGGUGUAGCGGUGAAAUGCAUAGAUAUGACGAAGAACCCCGAUUGCGAAGGCAGCUUGCUGCAGCGGAACUGACGCUGAUGCACGAAAGCGCGGGGAUCGAACAGGAUUAGAUACCCUGGUAGUC